rnacentral:rRNA from 1 species
ACUGGGCAUGCCUUAGUAGCGGCGAGUGAAGCGGCAAAAGCUCAAAUUUGAAAUCUGGCGCCUUCGGUGUCCGAGUUGUAAUUUGAAGAUUGUAACCUUGGGGUUGGCUCUUGUCUAUGUUUCUUGGAACAGGACGUCACAGAGGGUGAGAAUCCCGUGCGAUGAGAUGCCCAAUUCUAUGUAAGGUGCUUUCGAAGAGUCGAGUUGUUUGGGAAUGCAGCUCUAAGUGGGUGGUAAAUUCCAUCUAAAGCUAAAUAUUGGCGAGAGACCGAUAGCGAACAAGUACAGUGAUGGAAAGAUGAAAAGAACUUUGAAAAGAGAGUGAAAAAGUACGUGAAAUUGUUGAAAGGGAAGGGUUUGAGAUCAGACUCGAUAUUUUGUGAGCCUUGCCUUCGUGGCGGGGUGACCCGCAGCUUAUCGGGCCAGCAUCGGUUUGGGCGGUAGGAUAAUGGCGUAGGAAUGUGACUUUACUUCGGUGAAGUGUUAUAGCCUGCGUUGAUGCUGCCUGCCUAGACCGAGGACUGCGAUUUUAUCAAGGAUGCUGGCAUAAUGAUCCCAAACCGCCCGUCUUGAAMMMAMSGGAMACAA